GCAGUUGCGAGAUGGAAUAAGGAAAGCAUACCUAUUAUGGCAUCACUUUCGUCAACGACAGGAAGGUUACUAAAUUUACCUUCGAUCAUGCGCUCAAGAGCCGUGCUUACACGAAGGGAAGCCAAAGCACAAUCUGGAUGGGGAGUCAUGACGCGUAUGACAGAGCUGCGAUAUGGGUCAAGGCCAGCUGCUAGCACACGCAAAACUACGUCGUGAGCGGUAAAUACACCAGAUACGGCUCCAUUGUCCAUUACCAAAACAGCAGAAACGCCAGACCUAGCCAUAGACUCGGUCGCUUCGGCAACAGUAGUGCGAGUACCUACAAGAAAGGGCUCUUCUGAAGAAUCAAUGAGAGACAUAAUUUCAAGCCCUGAUGCUUUCUUUUUUAAGGAUUCGACAUAUUCAAGAAACUCAGCAGCAUGAUUACCAGAGACU